AGAGUUUGAUCCUGGCUCAGAAACGAACGCUGGCGGCAGGCUUAACACAUGCAAGUCGAACGCUCGUAGCAAUACGGGAGUGGCAGACGGGUGAGUAACGCGUGGGAACAUACCCUCCGGUUCGGAAUAGCUCAGGGAAACUUGGAUUAAUACCGGAUACGGCUGAGAGGCGAAAGAUUUAUCGCCGGAGGAUUGGCCCGCGUUCGAUUAGCUUGUUGGUGAGGUAACGGCUCACCAAGGCGAUGAUCGAUAGCUGGUCUGAGAGGAUGAUCAGCCACAUUGGGACUGAGACACGGCCCAAACUCCUACGGGAGGCAGCAGUGGGGAAUAUUGGACAAUGGGCGCAAGCCUGAUCCAGCCAUGCCGCGUGAGUGAUGAAGGCCCUAGGGUUGUAAAGCUCUUUCAACGGUGAAGAUAAUGACGGUAACCGUAGAAGAAGCC
rnacentral:rRNA from 1 species